GAAUCGAAGCCCCAGUAAACGGCGGCCGUAACUAUAACGGUCCUAAGGUAGCGAAAUUCCUUGUCGGGUAAGUUCCGACCCGCACGAAAGGCGUAACGAUUUGGGCACUGUCUCAACGAGAGACUCGGUGAAAUCAUAGUACCUGUGAAGAUGCAGGUUACCCGCGACAGGACGGAAAGACCCCGUGGAGCUUUACUGUAGCCUGAUAUUGAAAUUCGGCACAGCUUGUACAGGAUAGGUAGGAGCCUUUGAAACGUGAGCGCUAGCUUACGUGGAGGCGCUGGUGGGAUACUACCCUAGCUGUGUUGGCUUUCUAACCCGCACCACUUAUCGUGGUGGGAGACAGUGUCA
rnacentral:rRNA from 1 species